rnacentral:rRNA from 1 species
AGCGAACGCUGGCGGCAGGCCUAACACAUGCAAGUCGAACGAACUCUUCGGAGUUAGUGGCGGACGGGUGAGUAACACGUGGGAACGUGCCUUUUGGUUCGGAAUAACUCAGGGAAACUUGUGCUAAUACCGAAUGUGCCCUUCGGGGGAAAGAUUUAUCGCCAUUAGAGCGGCCCGCGUCUGAUUAGCUAGUUGGUGAGGUAACGGCUCACCAAGGCGACGAUCAGUAGCUGGUCUGAGAGGACGACCAGCCACACUGGGACUGAGACACGGCCCAGACUCCUACGGGAGGCAGCAGUGGGGAAUCUUGCGCAAUGGGCGAAAGCCUGACGCAGCCAUGCCGCGUGAAUGAUGAAAGUCUUAGGAUUGUAAAAUUCUUUCACCGGGGACGAUAAUGACGGUACCCGGAGAAGAAGCCCCGGCUAGCUUCGUG